GAUGAACGCUAGCGGCAGGCCUAAUACAUGCAAGUCGAGGGGCAGCACAGGUAGCAAUACUGGGUGGCGACCGGCAAACGGGUGCGGAACACGUACGCAACCUUCCUUUAAGUGGGGGAUAGCCCAGGGAAACUUGGAUUAAUACCCCGUACGAUAGAGGUGUGGCAUCACACUUUUAUGAAAGCUACGGCACUUAAAGAUGGGCGUGCGGCUGAUUAGGUAGUUGGCGGGGUAACGGCCCACCAAGCCAACGAUCAGUAACUGGUGUGAGAGCACGACCAGUCACACGGGCACUGAGACACGGGCCCGACUCCUACGGGAGGCAGCAGUAAGGAAUAUUGGUCAAUGGACGCAAGUCUGAACCAGCCAUGCCGCGUGGAGGAUGAAGGCCCUCUGGGUUGUAAACUUCUUUUAUUGGGGAAGAACUCUACUUUUUCUAAGGUAGUUGACGGCACCCGAUGAAUAAGCACCGGCUAACUCCGUGCCAGCAGCCGCGGUAAUACGGAGGGUGCAAGCGUUAUCCGGAUUCACUGGGUUUAAAGGGUGCGUAGGUGGGCAGGUAAGUCAGUGGUGAAAUCUCCGGGCUUAACCCGGAAACUGCCGUUGAUACUAUCUGUCUUGAAUGUAGUGGAGGUGAGCGGAAUAUGUCAUGUAGCGGUGAAAUGCUUAGAUAUGACAUAGAACACCCAUUGCGAAGGCAGCUCGCUACACUAUUAUUGACACUGAGGCACGAAAGCGUGGGGAUCAAACAGGAUUAGAUACCCUGGUAGU
rnacentral:rRNA from 1 species